rnacentral:sRNA from 1 species
CGUGUUGAACGGCGACGACGCCGUCGACGCGAUUCUGACGGGACGCCCCG